GACGAACGCUGGCGGCGUGCCUAAUACAUGCAAGUCGAACGCACUGGGGACGGGUGAGUAACACGUGGGUAACCUCCCAUCAGAGGGGAUAACACUUGGAAACAGGUGCUAAACCGAUACUGAUGGAUGGACCCGCGGUGCAUUAGCUAGUUGGUGAGGUAACGGCUCACCAAGGCCACGAUGCAUAGCUGACCUGGGAGAGUAGUCGUCCACACUGGAACUGAAAGCCGGCCCAGACUCCUACGGUAGGCAGCAGUGAGGAAUCUUCGACAAUGGACGAAAGUCUGACCGAGCAACGCCGCGUGAGUGAAGAAGGUUUUCGGAACGUAGGACUCUGUUAUUAGAGAAGCGGUAUCUAACCAGAAAGCCACGGCUAACUACAUGCCAGCAGCCGCGGUAAGUC
rnacentral:rRNA from 1 species